rnacentral:rRNA from 1 species
AGGCUUUGAUCCUGGCUCAGGACGAACGCUGGCGGCGUGCCUAACACAUGCAAGUUGAGCGAAGCAUUUAAUUUAGCUUGCUAGAUUAGAUGACUGAGCGGCGAACGGGUGAGUAACACGUGGGUGAUCUACCUGGGAGACGGGGAUAACAGUUCGAAAGGGCUGCUAAUACCCGAUGAUAUUGCUGAUUCGGUUCAGUGAUCAAAGCGUUAUGUAGUGCUUUCAGAUGAGCCCGCGUUCCAUUAGUUAGUUGGUAGGGUAAUGGCCUACCAAGGCGACGAUGGGUAGCCGGUCUGAGAGGAUGGUCGGCCACACUGGGACUGAGACACGGCCCAGACUCCUACGGGAGGCAGCAGUGGGGAAUUUUGCGCAAUGGGGGCAACCCUGACGCAGCGACGCCGCGUGAGCGAUGAGUGCCUUCGGGUUGUAAAGCUCUGUCUAGGGGGAGAAUAGUGACGGUACCCUUGGAGGAAGCCCCGGGGUCCA